AACCCAUGUUGUGGACUCUUGCACAAAAGGUCUUCGAAUCGUUCCUAAGUCUCAAACAAAGUUUCAAGUUCCAUAUGAACAAAUAAAGAUAUCUCAUUACGAAGCUU